GACGAACGCUGGCGGCGUGCUUAACACGUGCAAGUCGAGCGGAAAGGCCUCUUUCGGGGGGUACUCGAGUGGCGAACGGGUGAGUAACACGUGAGUAACCUGCCCUUGACUUUGGGAUAACUUCAGGAAACUGGGGCUAAUACCGGAUAGGAGCUCCUGCUGCAUGGUGGGGGUUGGAAAGUUUCGGCGGUUGGGGAUGGACUCGCGGCUUAUCAGCUUGUUGGUGGGGUAGUGGCUUACCAAGGCUUUGACGGGUAGCCGGCCUGAGAGGGUGACCGGCCACAUUGGGACUGAGAUACGGCCCAGACUCCUACGGGAGGCAGCAGUGGGGAAUACUGCACAAUGGGUGGAAGCCUGAUGCAGCAACGCCGUGUGCGGGAUGACGGCCUUCGGGUUGUAAACCGCUUUCGCUCAUGACGAAGCUUUGUGUGACGGUAGUGGGUAAAGAAGCACCGGCUAACUACGUG
rnacentral:rRNA from 1 species